GAUGCUUCUCGUCGGGUCUCGAGUGGGCCCUUUUCAACAUCCAGGGAUGCAACGACGCGUGAUGAUUGGCACGGUUCAGCACCGGAACAGAUCCGCAUGGACGAUUCGAUUCUUCCAUCUCACUCGUGGUUUAGUGGUUUAGUGGUUUAGUGGUUGAGAAACAGCUUACGCUGCAAUCAAAUGGAAUGUUUCUUCUAGGAAGUUGCAUCUCCAUGGAUGGAUGCUCCACGGGAAAUGCUUAAAUGGAAAUGUCUAAAAUUUUGGGUCAUGUACUUACUCUGUUUACUCCGUAUGGCUUUUCGCACUUCACGGCUUUGGGAAGGUCGUUGAUUUCCCCCAAGCGGUGUUUUGCCUGCGCCCACUUCUUCACGCACUGAUAGGCAGAUACGCAGCGGGCCCUUCCAGCCCGUUGUUGGCUGUUAUGGGGCCCUAGGCCAAGUCCAGGAUAGCCAGCCGUCUCCAACACACGGCCGGAGUGGUUCCGGAACCCUCUGUUGGUAGGGAGUCCAGAGAGCCCUGGAUUCUUCCAGCCUUCCAGCAUGAGGAUUCUUCCAAGGUUGAAAUUGGGCGGUUCCUUGUUUGGCCUCUGAGAGUACAAGAGUGAUGUCGGGGGGGAAAAAAAAGAAAAGAGAAAAAAAGAG
rnacentral:sRNA from 1 species